GCCAGCCGCAGAAUCCUUUGGAUGCAGGCGGAGCAGCUGGGAGAUCCACACUCAAGAGGCUGAACUUUCAGACCUCAGCUUCCUGCUUGUAAAAUACAAGGUUCCCUAGCUGCCGCCUGGACCCUUUCAGUAACAAUGGUGCAUGGCUGGAGGCUGUCCAGCGGUCCUCAGAGACAAGUUAGUCUCUAGAGGAACUAUCCGAGGUGAAGCAUCAGUUAGGCAUGGUGCCCGUCACUCCUGCACAGGUCGCCUAGGAUCCGUUCACCCGCUCUCCCCACCCCAUCCUCAGGGCUGCCAAGCCCAGACCUCGCUAACUAAAAUCUGGCUGCGUGAGCAGGGUGAAAGUAAAGCGAAAGCAGGCAAACAACGCACCUACCUCUGCGAGCCUCGGAUACAAGAGGACCUGGGUGGCCUUGUGUGAAGAGGAGGAGCCAGUGACACCUGGACUAGGCACAGGGACCUCGGAGAAGUGCAAACGAAACCCAAGACCUCACUGGUGGAUGUAGCUUAAAUUGGGCUAUUCUUUCGGUAGGCUAGGGAGGCGCUCGAGGUUCCCCAACAGGGGCAGUCGCCAGAGCACGGGGACAAUGGUGUGUUUGGCAGAGUCUAUUUUAAAGGAUAACUACAGACUCUUGGUUCAACCCACAGCUCUAGGAAACCUCGGGGGAGAGGUUUAGUACGACCCCUCACAGGACACCUUUACGAAACGUCUCUCACCCUCUGGCAAUGUCCUGAAACCCCGCGACCAGGAUGCUUUUCCCUGCAGGUAUGCAGGCAGACAGCCCUCAGCAAAAUGGUCAAGACAGCCGGGUACCUUCCUUCCACUGGGGUUAGGAUGAGGCUUCUGGAGAUGUCAGGAGGAAACAUCUUGUUUAAGAAGCAGCCUGGCAGUGGCCAUAUCUGAUUACCCAGAGGCCACUUCCGAAAGACUGAAAACGUCUGUUGGAGGCCUGGAAGCAUAUCCCUUCAGUUCUUCAUAUAUUCCAGAGAAGAGAUGCGACUACCACUGUCAGUAAUCACAUCCCAAAUAUCGGCUAUGUGUUGGGAGAGGAACAAAACUGAGCACCAGACAAUUACUGGGCUGGGUCUUCUCGGACAGCAAAAAUCCCCAGUAAGAAUGCUUGAAGACUGGGGCAGAGCAUUCUCUUCAAGUCCAGAUAGCCACCUCCCACCACCAACCUGGGAAAGAAAAGAUUGCAUCCUCCUCCCCAACACCCUUCUUUCAGGCUGUACUUCCUCCAGCCUUUGAUUCCAAGCCCCUCUGCUGCUGGCCUUUCCCCAGCUGCUCCGGAGUCUGUGGCUUAAUACAGAGACCUGAAUCAGAAGUGCCAGACAGUGAAUUCAGUUCUGUGGCCAAGAAGCUAUUUGUUCUUGGGUGAGUUCCACGGUCUCUCCGGGCCAUUCUUUCAUCUUCUGCAAUACGGAGAUCUAGAGGACAGCACUGUUCUCAGGAUUAUAUGAAAUGAUUCGUAGGAAGUGAGUCACUUGGAGUCUACGUAUCGAGCGUGCUCAUAAUAGUGAACCACACAGUGUGAGCGAAUAAACAGGCAGACAAACUCAGGUGACUAUUUCUGAAAGGGGUGCUUACUGAAGGUUGACGAUUUUGUGCUACCACAUUAAGAAGCCAUUAAACGAUGUUCUACAUGGUG